GCAAUUUUGGCUCAGUCAGUAGAGCAUGAGACUCAAUCUCAGGGUCGUGGGUUCGAGCCCCACAUUGGGCG
rnacentral:tRNA from 1 species